ACAGCGAUUUAUUUAAGGCGCCUCAAUAUGCGCUAUUAAUUACUGAACUUUUCUCUCCCGGUAAAACCAAAAUUUUGGCUCCAAAGUUCUAGCAGCGACCAAUUAAUAGUUGCCGCAGACGAACAUUUAGGAGCGAUUUCUAAUGUCUCUUUGCUCGAUUUCUUUUCUGCGGUACCACUUAUUUGCUCUUGUCCUUCUCUGUAAAAUUCUCAAUGUUCUCUCCGGUCGAAAACCUUAAAUGUGUCAAAUCUACCUACUCAAAUCAGAAAAUGUGAACCAUAUGGUAGAGAUUCAAUAGCCUUAAUUACAAAAUGUGACUCCUUCGGGUAUGUGUUCAAAUCUCAAUUUCCUUUUAUUUUUGUGGUAAAUGUAUUCUCUAAUUUCACCUCAAAUAUUUCUGACCCAUUUGCAAAUCGAGAGGAAACACUAAAGCUAAAGAAGGAAGGAGGAAAGUCUGAAGUUUGAAAAUCAUUAUGAGGGUAAGUUAUUCCAAACCGUUCGAAGUUUUGAAGUUUUAUUCCAUGUUUUUUCGAUUCUCGGUCUUGACAGUCCUAUGUCAGUUAUCUCCUUCUCUAGGUAAGUUGAAAGUUUUUUUUUUUCUGAAAUUUUAGACCUUUUGGUGUUGUUAUUAUGAUUGCAUGCUCGAUAUUAUAUUGGGUAUCUUGAGUUCAGUAAUUGUGCAAAAAAGACGUCUUUUAGGUUGAAUUUACCUGGGUUUUUAGUUUUGAAGAUGGAUUGUAUUCCUUUUGAAAUAUUGAGUUUUAAGAAAUUUUCCGAUGUAUUUAAUUUGUAGAACAUGAGUAUUUUUUUUCUGUAAUCUCUACUUUAUACACUUAUGAGCGUUGUUCACUUCAGUCAAAUAUUCUACUCUGUCUUUUCUUGUAUAUUUAAUAAAAAGGUCAUACUUAUAAAUAAUUCAGGAAGGAGAGCAUGUGAGUCAGGUCUUGUACUCAGCUUAAAUAAUUGACGUUCUUUAUGAAAUCAAGCCUUUUCAAACAACUUUCAAAGCCUUGCAUUUUUUUUCUUCUGAAAAUUCAGCAUCCCUAAUAAUGAAACCGUCUUUAUAUAGUAUGUGGCUGUCUUAUUUUGGAGCUAGAAUUUGGAUAUGACUUAUGUCGCACUACUUGCGACGCUGUUAGAUAUUGAUUCUCUCAUAGUGUGUUAUGGAGAUAAAUCUCUAUGUAUUCUAUAACUACUCUAGUAUAUUAGAUGAGAAACAAAAUAGACAAUUUAGCAUUAUUUAUGUAGAAAAAGAUGAAACAAAAAGAAGGAACCUCAUGCUUUUAAAGUGGACCUUUUUCAGUGUUACAAGUAGCAAGGACUUGUCCUACUUUUUAUUUGAUAGCAUUUCCCAAACAUAAUUUGAGUGUGCCAUUUGAUUGUGGUGGUGAAAUAUCUGUAUACUUUUAUCUUUUAUUGGUUUCAAAUGUAUUAUUUGUUGUAAAGAAAUUCAUUUUUGUAUGACAUAGUCAUUGCUUAUAUGACAAAUUAUACAUUGAGGUUUUGCUAAUUAGUUAUGAUUGAGGUAUGAUUAGCCAUGUGAGGUUGUUGCAAUGGAGUUCUUAUCCUUCAAGCCUGUUGGCUUUUUUGAUUAUCUUCAGAAGCAAAUAAACAUAGUCCUAGACGAGACGAGACUGUUAGCAUGUAUGAUAUUUCUUCGUAGAAAUUACAUCAUCCUUUGUUACCUAGUUUUUGCGUGUGGAUACAAAUUAGAUGUUAUACUUUGUGGUAGAAAAUGUUAUUUUAUGAAAGUUGGACUUAGUAAAUCAUAGUGGAUUCUAGUUUUAAAAUGCCUGUCAGGUGAUUCUGAUAUUAUUGCAUGCUAUUUUAUUUAUGGUUCUUAUGUUUAGAUAAUUAUUUACGCUAUUUUUGUUGGAGUUACUAAUGCUCUUUUGUUUUUUUUUUUUUUUUCCUUUCCUUCAUUGAGCAGAGGGUCGACUGGAAACAGCCUCUCUGUCCUUUCGGGUAGGGGUAAGGCCCGUCUACAUAUUACCCUCUCCAGAUCUCACUUGUGAGACUAUACUGGAUAGUUGUUGUUGUUGUAGAUUCAGAUUGCAAGAAGCACGUGAACAAAUGGCUGCGGAGUUGCAAAGGAAUAUAGAACAUAAUUGCAAAGGAAUUUAGAAAAAGAGUUUCAAAAGAAGUCGGAGGAUGAGCAUGAACACGUGAAUGUAGAGGUAGAGAAGAGGAUCCAAGAACAAUUGGCUACUAUCAUAGCCAAAAUGCAACAGGUAUUGUCAAUAUUUUGUACUCUUCUUGAUAAUUCUUUGUUCUUAUUUUCUUUUCAUCUACUCCUUUAAUUUUUGUUUUCUUGAGAAUAAGCUAUUGGCUUGUUAUAUAUUCAUGUCAAUUCUGGAUUUGUCAACAAGGCCUAUGAAAUUGUAUUCUAGUUUUAUAUCCAGGUGCAAUUUCUGGAUUUUGCUUCAUGAAUUGUCUCGUCUAUUUAUUUGAAAUAUACGUAAUGCUAACAUGAGAUGACAUGCUACUAGAAUUAUAUGUAGUUUAUCUCUAUGAUUUUGAGGCAUCUAACUUAUCUUUAAUUUUGAGGCAUCUCAUAUAAAGGCAUCUCUUAUAUGUAGCUUCUCUAUUUGAAUGGUAGUACAACUAACUGUUUGUAUCCCAAUGACAUUGUGUAUAUAUAGAAAUCUUGGUAACAUCCCCUAUGUCAAUCAACACAAAAUUCAUAAGACUUUAAGUCACUUACUGUAAUAAAUAAUUACCACUAAAUAAAUACAUCUAAAAAUGCUAGAUGAAUUGUCUGUUGCGUAAUCCUCCGCCCACAUCUUGUGCUUCUUCUUUGAAAUAAUUUAAAAGUGAUAAAAUCGUAUACAACUGUUAUGCACUUAUUUAAAAUAUAACAUUCUGCAAUAGCCAGCAUUUUGCUCGAGCUACUACGACUGUUGCUUCCAACAAGUAAUGUGCGCCCUUCUUCUCUCUUAAAAUUAAAUUGGUUUUUCAUAGUUUAGCUUUUAGUUCUAAUGUGGGGUUUAUUAUAUUAACCUAAUUAAUUGUUUAACUCACUCCAAAAUAAUUUAGAGGAAGAUAUUUUCUUGGAUUCUUGAAUUUUUUGUAUUUUAGCUUCCAAGAAUAUUCAAUUAAUUAUCUUAUUUUGGGGGUUGAUUUACUGUAGAUUUUGCUGCUGUAUCAAUCUUGAUGGCAAUACUACAUGUGUGAUAAAUCUUUACUAGAGUUGUGGUUGCGCUUGAAUUAGAUUUUCGAUUUAUUUUAUUAUUUAUUAUUUUGAUGAUGGUAUAUUCAGGUCAGACCCCACUUUGUGGGACUAUACUGGGUAAUUGUUAUUGUUGUAUUCAGGCCAGCUAGUACAUACCUUGAAUUUUAUUGGGUACUUGUUAUCUCCCAUCAACACAUGUAUUGGGUAACUCUGUUCAUCAAGGUUUAGCCAUAUGAAAAAAAAUUUACCCUGUUUUGUUUGUUGUUUUUGCUAAGAUUUGAACAUGAGACUUUAUGGUUCUCGUCGCACUUUAUUGACCACUAUAAUCAGAUUCAUGAUUUAUGAAGUGACUGCCAAAUGAAUAUGUGAAGGAGGCAAUCUCUUUUUGUUAUGGUUUUAUGGUUUGUCGAAUGAGAAGUAAUUUUAUUUAGUGUAAAAACUUGACUGAGAAGUAGUUUUGGUUUGUUUUUUAUGAGUAAAACUGAUUGGAUUACUGAAAUAGAUCGUAAGUGAUAUUGAACCAUCUGUCUGAAUUAUUAAACAUACAUGUCAUAUCCAUUUGACAUGGAAGUGUCAAGCCAGGUGAUGAGUAAAUGCACUAGAAAAUUAAAAGUGAAGCUAGUUCUAAAGGUAUCCUGAUGACAAGACAUAGAGGUUUGGUCGAUGCUAAUUCUUAAGAUCUACCUUUUCCUAUUUCACUGCAAUUCUUAUAUUUCAUGGAUGCAGUUCCUCUUUUGGUAGUGAGGGCUAGGUUGGUUUGGUUUUAUUGAUAUAUACUCAUUUAAGUUUGAUCAAUUUCAAUUUCGUGGGACGACAAUAGCAUUUAUAUCUAGAACUCAGCCUAUGGCACAUGGAACAUGUCAACUCAUGAUAAACCAGUAAGAGUUCAGGUUAUUAUCUACAUAGUUCGUAACAGCAGAAAAAAAGUGUUGAAUGACUAAAUGCUAUUUUCCUACUAUACUAUGUUGACAAGAGUGGGUUACUCUAGUGGUGGGUACCCACCACUUCAAAAAAAAUUGUGUUGGAUGACUAAAAUCUACCGCCACUUGAAGAAUGCAAAACUAUUUAAGAUAUUAUUUAUGUGGAAAUGCAAAAGUGUCUUUUAACUUAUAACUGUAGCGGCCAUGUAACUAAAUAGUUCAUCUUGUUGAAAUUUUUGUUCUUUGUUGGAUUUUGAUCAUUUAUUUUUUCCUCUUGAUAACAGGAACAAUGUUCUUGAACAAUCACAUAUAGCAUGAUCAAUGAGUUUGAAGAUAUUUAAUGUUUAGUUUUAUCUUUUGUUUUUUUUCUUUUGGUCAAAAGGCGAAAUUUAAUGUUUGUUUUUCCUUUAUCAUGCGUAAAAGCAUACAAUGGCACUAAACAAGAAAGUAUUGGGCAGUGUAUUAGCUAAUUGACUAUAUACUAAUGAAAGUAUAAUAGUAUUUGUGUUGAGAAAUAUUUGUGGUGUUUGUUGAAUUUCAUGCUUUUAGUAUUUGUAGACAAUUGAUCGAAAUAUACAUAAAUAAACUUAUAGCAUUGGUUAGUUAUUGAAAAAUCGCUUUAGUAGCGACUACACCUUGUUGCUAGAUAUAAGUAGUAG
rnacentral:lncRNA from 1 species